GUCCUACGGGGGGCAGCAGUGAGGAAUAUUGGUCAAUGGGCUAAGGCCUGAACCAGCCAAGUCGCGUGAGGGAAGACGGUCCUAUGGAUUGUAAACCUCUUUUGUCGGGGAGCAACGAGGCCACGUGUGGCCGAAGUGAGAGUACCCGAAGAAAAAGCAUCGGCUAACUCCGUGCCAGCAGCCGCGGUAAUACGGAGGAUGCGAGCGUUAUCCGGAUUUAUUGGGUUUAAAGGGUGCGUAGGUUGUUUUAUAAGUUAGCGGUGAAAUACCGAUGCUCAACAUCGGGGCUGCCGCUAAUACUGUAG
rnacentral:rRNA from 1 species